UUACCGAUGUCGACUUGGAGGGUUGUGGCCUUGAAGGCGUGGCUCCGAGCUAACGCGUAAGUCGACGCUUGGGGAGUACGGCGCAAGGUUAAACUCAAAUGAAUUGACGGGGGCCCGCACAAGCGGUGGAGCAUGUGGUUUAAUUCGAUGCAACGCGAAGAACCUUACCUGGUCUUGACAUCCACAGAACUUGGCAGAGAUGCCUUGGUGCCUUCGGGAAACUGUGAGACAGGUGCUGCAUGGCUGUCGUCAGCUCGUGUUGUGAAAUGUUGGGUUAAGUCCCGCAACGAGCGCAACCCUUAUCCUUUGUUGCCAGCGGUUAGGCCGGGAACUCAAAGGAGACUGCCAGUGAUAAACUGGAGGAAGGUGGGGAUGACGUCAAGUCAUCAUGGCCCUUACGACCAGGGCUACACACGUGCUACAAUGGCGCAUACAAAGAGAAGCGAACUCGCGAGAGCAAGCGGACCUCAUAAAGUGCGUCGUAGUCCGGAUUGGAGUCUGCAACUCGACUCCAUGAAGUCGGAAUCGCUAGUAAUCGUGAAUCAGAAUGUCACGGUGAAUACGUUCCCGGGCCUUGUACACACCGCCCGUCACACCAUGGGAGUGGGUUGCAAAAGAAGUAGGUAGCUAACUCGGAGGGCGCUACCACCUUGUUU
rnacentral:rRNA from 1 species